rnacentral:rRNA from 1 species
GAUGAACGCUGGCGGCGUGCCUAAUACAUGCAAGUCGAGCGAACAGACGAGGAGCUUGCUCCUCUGACGUUAGCGGCGGACGGGUGAGUAACACGUGGAUAACCUACCUAUAAGACUGGGAUAACUUCGGGAAACCGGAGCUAAUACCGGAUAAUAUAUUGAACCGCAUGGUUCAAUAGUGAAAGACGGUUUUGCUGUCACUUAUAGAUGGAUCCGCGCCGCAUUAGCUAGUUGGUAAGGUAACGGCUUACCAAGGCAACGAUGCGUAGCCGACCUGAGAGGGGGAUAGGCCACCCUGGAACGGAGACACGGUCCAGACUCCUACGGGAGGCAGCAGUAGGGAAUCUUACGCAAUGGGCGAAAGCCUGACGGAGCAACGCCGCGUGAGUGAUGAAGGUCUUCGGAUCGUAAAACUCUGUUAUUAGGGAAGAACAAAUGUGUAAGUAACUAUGCACGUCUUGACGGUACCUAAUCAGAAAGCCACGGCUAACUACGUG